UGGGGAAUAUUGCGCAAUGGGCGAAAGCCUGACGCAGCGACGCAGCGUGAGGGAUGAAGGUUUUCGGAUCGUAAACCUCUGUCAGAAGGGAAGAAACCGCACUGUGCUAAUCAGCAGUGCCUUGACGGUACCUUCAAAGGAAGCACCGGCUAACUCCGUGCCAGCAGCCGCGGUAAUACGGAGGGUGCAAGCGUUAAUCGGAAUUACUGGGCGUAAAGCGCACGUAGGCUGCUUUGUAAGUCAGGGGUGAAAUCCCACGGCUCAACCGUGGAACUGCCUUUGAUACUGCUUAGCUUGAAUCCGGGAGAGGGUGGCGGAAUUCCAGGUGUAGGAGUGAAAUCCGUAGAUAUCUGGAGGAACAUCAGUGGCGAAGGCGGCCACCUGGACCGGUAUUGACGCUGAGGUGCGAAAGCGUGGGGAGCAAACAGG
rnacentral:rRNA from 1 species